CCGUUUUUCAAAGCAAAUAAAGAAGCAGGACUGUUUAUAUUCUAAAUAUAUUAUUUCCACUCUUGUUUGUCUAAAUGUCAUUAGAGGAGAUGCCUUAUCUGAUACCAUUCUCCUUCUGCUAGAAACAGCUAGCGUGUUUGUUUUUGGCAGACAGAGCUGCUCAGAGCAUCAGGACAAGCUGCAGGUGCUAUCAGAGAGCGUUUUACUUCAAGUGAUGACUGGCAUCAAGAGACGUAGCCGGGAUGUCCUUCCCUCUGCACGAGAACAGGGGCUGGCUUUCGAGAAGAUGGGCAUAUGUCAGGAGGGAUCAAAGCAAGAAAUACAGAAUCGACCUUGAUGUCAGCAGCAAUCCGCCCUGACUGUGCCGCUCGUGCUGCCUCUUGUAAGCCGUGGAGCUGCUUGUGCUGGAGAGCCUUGGGCAGGCCCCUGCUGAGCGUGCCACAGGGAUGCUGCUACUUUAUAUAACUUCUACCCUGUACCCUAAAGGUAGCAAUAAAGCUGGGUAACUUAAUGUAACA
rnacentral:lncRNA from 1 species